rnacentral:lncRNA from 1 species
GGCGGGGCGAAGGAUGAGUGUGAAGAAUGAUAGUCAUUUGGACUUCUUUGUGCAAUCACUUUGAUGAAUACCAAACUUAAGUGUAACGCCAGUCUCCAAGUAUGACUUCAGUCUACAAGGGUGAUAUCAGAGGGCACAGAGUGUGACUUCAGUCUGCAAACACAAGGCAGGCCUUCAGGAGAGACCCCAGUUGCAUGUAGGAGAAUUCCAGAAGCCAUCUAGCAAUACCACACUCCAGCAUGAGACACAACUCAAAGGGCGUCCACCAGCAGGAGAGAACGCUGGGCUUUGGGCAUCACGUGGCCUCUUGAGGGUCAUUAAGCCUGAGACGGGAGUUCAUCCUGAGACAUCCGUUAGUGCACCAUUUUAAGCCUAGGACAUCCAUAUGGGAGUCAGUUUCAGCCUGAGACAUACCUUCGGACACCUGAUCAGCUUGAAAUAUGAAACGUCCUGCCUCAUUUUAGGCUGAGCCCACAUUUGCUCGGAAACUCAUUUCAGUCUCUCAGAAGUCUGGGCACUUCAGUCACGCUGGCUUCUUGCCCAUCACUCCAAGGUCACCCUCAAAGAAGCAGGUCACUCCAGCGUAAAACAUGGAGACUGCAGUGUCACAUUGGACUUCAGUCUGAGAUGUCACAUGAAAGCCUGAGAUGUCACACGAAGUAGGAAUGGGUCGUAGUUACACUUGAACGGGUCUUGUCAGCCUGUCACAUUGGUUUCAUUUUCAAAUAAUUAAUUGUGUCCUUAAUCUUCAGUUGUAGGCCUAUACAAAAUUAUCUAUCCGUGUGUGUGUAUCGACAUGUUUAUUGUAUUAUUAUCCAGUUAUAUUAUGCAAUUGCAACACUGUAGUUAACUGUUGCCUUUGUUUUUCAAUAUGUGCUUGUUUCAUAAAGAUCUGCCAUUUAUUAUCUCUCAAAUUCCUUUGCUAUUUUGCAUUCCAUUAUUUAUUGAGUGAAGGCAAUGCGUU